UGGGGAAUAUUGGACAAUGGGGGGAACCCUGAUCCAGCCAUGCCGCGUGAGUGAUGAAGGCCCUAGGGUUGUAAAGCUCUUUUGUGCGGGAAGAUAAUGACGGUACCGCAAGAAUAAGCCCCGGCUAACUUCGUGCCAGCAGCCGCGGUAAUACGAAGGGGGCUAGCGUUGCUCGGAAUCACUGGGCGUAAAGGGUGCGUAGGCGGGUCUUUAAGUCAGAGGUGAAAUCCUGGAGCUCAACUCCAGAACUGCCUUUGAUACUGAGGAUCUUGAGUUCGGGAGAGGUGAGUGGAACUGCGAGUGUAGAGGUGAAAUUCGUAGAUAUUCGCAAGAACACCAGUGGCGAAGGCGGCUCACUGGCCCGAUACUGACGCUGAGGCACGAAAGCGUGGGGAGCAAACAGGAUUAGAUACCCAAGUAGUCCCUGAGCGGGCUGGCAAGGCGCAU
rnacentral:rRNA from 1 species